CAGAGAUGUCUUUUCUGACAAAGGUUCUCUGUUAUCCACUUUCUUCUGGAUGUUCUUCACUAAAAGGUCUCCAUAAUGUUUAAUGAUCGGAAACAUCUGU